rnacentral:rRNA from 1 species
UACGAAGGGGGCUAGCGUUGCUCGGAAUCACUGGGCGUAAAGGGUGCGUAGGCGGGUCUUUAAGUCAGGGGUGAAAUCCUGGAGCUCAACUCCAGAACUGCCUUUGAUACUGAGGAUCUUGAGUUCGGGGAGAGGUGAGUGGAACUGCGUGUGUAGAGGUGAAAUUCGUAGAUAUUCGCAAGAACACCAGUGGCGAAGGCGGCUCACUGGCCCGAUACUGACGCUGAGGCACGAAAGCGUGGGGAGCAAACAGG